rnacentral:rRNA from 1 species
AAAUGAAUAGACGGGGGCCCGCACAAGCGGUGGAGUAUGUGGUUUAAUUCGAUGCAACGCGAAGAACCUUACCCAGGCUUGACAUCUGGGGGACCCUUGCGAAAGUGAGGGGUGCCCUUCGGGGAGCCCCAAGACAGGUGCUGCAUGGCUGUCGUCAGCUCGUGCCGUGAGGUGUUGGGUUAAGUCCCGCAACGAGCGCAACCCUUGUCUUCAGUUGCCAUCGGGUAAAGCCGGGCACUUUGGAGAGACCGCCCCGGUCAACGGGGAGGAAGGUGGGGACGACGUCAAGUCAUCAUGGCCCUUACGCCUGGGGCAACACACGUACUACAAUGGCGCGCACAAAGGGCAGCAAUCCCGCGAGGAGGAGCCAAUCCCAAAAAACGCGUCUCAGUCCGGACUGCAGUCUGCAACUCGACUGCACGAAGUCGGAAUCGCUAGUAAUUCGAGAUCAGCAUGCUCGGGUGAAUGCGUUCCCGGGCCUUGUACACACCGCCCGU